GAGACAGAACAGCCUUAUAACAUUGUGGUACUUGGAUGCAAAGGUUCAGGAGUCUGUAUGGUGUGGGAGGUAAAGGUUCAGGGCCCAUACUUAUAUAGAAAUGAGGCGUUUGACUUAAGUCUCUCCUAAGUGACGAGUUUUCAACCUGGCUAGGGUUCCAGCCACUAUGGGUAGUGGGGAACGUUAAGUUGCCCACAACAGCGAGUUAGCUCGAAAGAUCAGUUAUCUCAUAUGAAAAUGAAUGGGUAAGAAUACCUUAAAAUGGUGAAAUAAUUGAAUAGAAGUACAUCAUAUCCAUUACAAUAGGGUUUCAUAAGGCUAUAGUGACAGCCGGAGCGUGGGCUCGUAGCGCGGGUGUCCACAAUAGUGGACAUGGCAUUUUUUUAAUGAACGCGCUGCCAGAUUUGAUAAGUUUGUCAUCAAGUACAGUAAACAUGCCGUUUUUGAGCUUUAUAUGGGUAUGGUACACAGAAGCUGUAAAAAAGUGAUGCUUUUUAUUGCUGAAUAAUAGAAAAUAAGAACAAUAGAGGUGGGUAUCUGUCUAUAAUAAUAUGUUUUCAUAGUUCCUAUUUCAUAACUCUGUACUCGUUCUACCAAUGCUUAUAUGGUGUUCAAAUUAACGUCAAAGAACAGCUAAGGAAAAGGACUUUACAGUGAUACCUCAUUCAGCAAUGUUAGCUCAGUAAGAGAGAAGAUACUUGAGGUUGAAGUGAGGUGUAUUUUUGAGUGAAUAUGCCCACGUGGCAGGCCAGGCACGGCAAAAUCUAGCCUGCGCUUUAAGUGUUAAGAUGAGCCAGAGACGAAGAGUUAGCUUUAUAAGUAUAAGCCCAGGAGUAUACUGUGGGAGGUAAAGGUUCAGGAGUCUGUAUACUGUGGGAGGUAAAGGUUCAGGAGUCUGUAUACUGUUGGAGGUAAUGGUUCAGGAGUCUGUAUACUGUGGGAGGUAAAGGUUUAGGAGUCUGUAUACUGUGGGAGGUAAAGGUUUAGGAGUCUGUAUACUGUGGGAGGUGAGGGUUUAGGAGUCUGUAUACUGUGGGAGGUAAAGGUUUAGGAGUCUGCAUACUGUGGGAGGUAAAGGUUCAGGAGUCUGUAUACUGUGGGAGGUAAAGGUUCAGGAGUCUGUAUACUGUGGGAGGUAAAGGUUCAGGAGUCUGUAUACUGUGGGAGGUAAAGGUUCAGGAGUCUGUAUACUGUGGGAGGUAAAGGUUUAGGAGUCUGUAUACUGUGGGAGGUAAAGGUUUAGGAGUCUGUAUACUGUGGGAGGUAAAGGUUCAGGAGUCUGUAUACUGUGGGAGGUAAAGGUUUAGGAGUCUGUAUACUGUGGGAGGUAAAGGUUCAGGAGUCUGUAUACUGUGGGAGGUAAUGGUUCAGGAGUCUGUAUACUGUGGGAGGUAAAGGUUUAGGAGUCUGUAUACUGUGGGAGGUAAAGGUUCAGGAGUCUGUAUACUGUGGGAGGUAAAGGUUUAGGAGUCUGUAUACUGUGGGAGGUAAAGGUUCAGGAGUCUGUAUACUGUGGGAGGUAAAGGUUCAGGAGUCUGUAUACUGUGGGAGGUAAAGGUUCAGGAGUCUGUAUACUGUGGGAGGUAAAGGUUUAGGAGUCUGUAUACUGUGGGAGGUAAAGGUUCAGGAGUCUGUAUACUGUGGGAGGUAAAGGUUCAGGAGUCUGUAUACUGUGGGAGGUAAAGGUUCAGGAGUCUGUAUACUGUGGGAGGUAAAGGUUUAGGAGUCUGUAUACUGUGGGAGGUAAAGGUUUAGGAGUCUGUAUACUGUGGGAGGUGAGGGUUUAGGAUUCUGUCUACACUCACCCACUUAACAACCAGACCCUCCAUGGCUGCAUCCAAAACAAUAAGCUCCUCUUUGUUUUUCA